rnacentral:sRNA from 1 species
GCCGGGUAUGGUGGUGCACACCUGUAAUCCCAGCCACUUGGAGGCUGAGGCAGGAGGAUGGCAAGUUCAAGAUCAGCCUGGGCAACUUAGUGAGACCCUGCUUAAA